AUUGAACGCUGGCGGCAGGCCUAACACAUGCAAGUCGAGCGAGCGGCGGACGGGUGAGUAAUGUAUGGGGACUGCCCGAUAGAGGGGGAUAACUACUGGACACGGUGGCUAAUACCGCAUACUAUCGGAUAACCCAUAUGGGAUUAGGUAGUAGGUGGGGUAAAGGCUCACCUAGGCGACGAUCUCUAGCUGGUCUGAGAGGAUGAUCAGCAACACUGGGAUGGAGACACGGCCCAGACCCCUACGGAGCGAGCAGUGGGGAAUAUUGCACAAUGGGCGCAAUCCUGAUGCAGUCAUGCCGGGUGUAUGAAGAAGGCCUUAGGGUUGUAAAGUACUUUCAGCGGGGAGGCGUUACCCACAGAAGAAGCAACGGCUAACUCCGUGCCAGCAGCCGCGGUAAUUC
rnacentral:rRNA from 1 species